GACGAACGCUGGCGGCGUGCUUAACACAUGCAAGUCGAACGGUGAAGCGCCUUCCUUUUUGGUGGGUGUGGAUGGGUGGCGAACGGGUGAGUAACACGUGAGUAACCUGCCCCCUUCUUCUGGAUAACCGCAUGAAAGUGUGGCUAAUACGGGAUAUUCUGGGUCUGUCGCAUGAUGGGUCUGGGAAAGAUAUUGUUUCGGUGGGGGAUGGGCUCGCGGCCUAUCAGCUUGUUGGUGGGGUGAUGGCCUACCAAGGCGGUGACGGGUAGCCGGCCUGAGAGGGUGGACGGUCACACUGGGACUGAGACACGGCCCAGACUCCUACGGGAGGCAGCAGUGGGGAAUAUGGCACAAUGGGCGCAAGCCUGAUGCAGCGACGCCGCGUGAGGGAUGGAGGCCUUCGGGUUGUGAACCUCUUUCGCCAGUGAAGCAGGCCUGCCUCGUUUGUGGGUGGGUUGACGGUAGCUGGAUAAGAAGCGCCGGCUAACUACGUG
rnacentral:rRNA from 1 species